GUCGAGGGGCAGCAUGGUCUUAGCUUGCUAAGGCUGAUGGCGACCGCGCUUACGGGUGAGUAACACGUAUCCAACCUGCCGUCUACUUUUGGCCAGCCUUCUGAAAGGAAGAUUAAUCCAGGAUGGGAUCAUGAGUUCACAUGUCCGCAUGAUUAAAGGUAUUUUCCGGUAGACGAUGGGGAUGCGUUCCAUUAGAUAGUAGGCGGGGUAACGGCCCACCUAGUCAACGAUGGAUAGGGGUUCUGAGAGGAAGGUCCCCCACAUUGGAACUGAGACACGGUCCAAACUCCUACGGGAGGCAGCAGUGAGGAAUAUUGGUCAAUGGGCGAUGGCCUGAACCAGCCAAGUAGCGUGAAGGAUGACUGCCCUAUGGGUUGUAAACUUCUUUUAUAAAGGAAUAAAGUCGGGUAUGCAUACCCGUUUGCAUGUACUUUAUGAAUAAGGAUCGGCUAACUCCGUGCCAGCAGCCGCGGUAAUACGGAGGAUCCGAGCGUUAUCCGGAUUUAUUGGGUUUAAAGGGAGCGUAGAUGGAUGUUUAAGUCAGUUGUGAAAGUUUGCGGCUCAACCGUAAAAUUGCAGUUGAUACUGGAUGUCUUGAGUGCAGUUGAGGCAGGCGGAAUUCGUGGUGUAGCGGUGAAAUGCUUAGAUAUCACGAAGAACUCCGAUUGCGAAGGCAGCCUGCUAAGCUGCAACUGACAUUGAGGCUCGAAAGUGUGGGUAUCAAACAGGAUUAGAUACCCUGGUAGUCCACACGGUAAACGAUGAAUACUCGCUGUUUGCGAUAUACGGCAAGCGGCCAAGCGAAAGCGUUAAGUAUUCCACCUGGGGAGUACGCCGGCAACGGUGAAACUCAAAGGAAUUGACGGGGGC
rnacentral:rRNA from 1 species